GUGACAUGGACAUGUUUUAGAGUUGAAUAUUUAUACUACUGAACCUUCAAGUGUCCUUUGUGUUUUUACGGGGCUUAGGAAAUGAAAUAAGGCUUUAUUUUCAUUGCACAUACGUCGAUAGAGACAUACAUACAUACGUGCAUUUUCAAUUGAAAGUUUUGAUCUGUUGUAGAUGCUCCUCUAACUCCUCCAAGCUAACUUACCUGUUUCUGCUUUCAGGAUGAGGAAUCUGUUGAGCAUUUGUCACCUCAAGAUCUUUUGAAAGGACACAUCAAACAUGCUAAAAAGGUUCGAGCACGAGUAAGGGAAGAACAGUUACGGCGAAUUGCAAGGUAUAACAGUAGGCUUGCUCUUCUCCUUCCUCUGCUGGUAGAACAGUUCAGAAAUGAUACAGCUCCUAGAAACUGAUUCUUGCAGCGUUGACCAGACAUCUUUGUUAAUAUUGGGCAUCCUCUUGCACUUCUUGUCAAAGUUGUAAACUUGCAGAGGUUCUUAAGCCUUUAUGGGAUACAGGAAAAGUGACUCAAAUUUGCUGGAGUUCAUUGAUCAAGAUGCAAGCCAGGCGAUUGUAAAAUUGUUUGGGGAGGUUUUUGCUUAUAAAUAUACAUAGAAUUGUUGUUAGCUUUGCCCUAGUGUUUACAUCAUCGUGCAACUUCGAAACAGAGUGCAAAUGUUCUCUACUAAUCUCUAAUUAAUUUACUUUUUUUUGUUCUUU